UGUCCAGGGAUGGGAAUCGAACCCACAGUGUUCCGCUUACCGGGCAGAUGCCAUGUCCACUAGGCUAUUGGAC
rnacentral:tRNA from 1 species